UUACAAUGAAGAGUUUGAUCCUGGCUCAGGAUGAACGC
rnacentral:rRNA from 1 species